rnacentral:rRNA from 1 species
UACGGGGGGAGCAAGCGUUGUUCGGAUUUACUGGGCGUAAAGGGCGCGUAGGCGGUCAGCACAAGUCAGUUGUGAAAUCUCCGGGCUUAACUCGGAAAGGUCAACUGAUACUGUGCGACUAGAGUGCAGAAGGGGCAACUGGAAUUCUCGGUGUAGCGGUGAAAUGCGCAGAUAUCAGGAGGAACACCAAUGGCGAAGGCAGCACUCUGGGACGUGACUGACGCUGAGACGCGAAAGCGUGGGGAGCAAACAGG